UGUUUUCUAAGGCUAACACUAAACAUCUUCCUUUAGUAAACUAAUUCCUCAUUAAGUUCCUUAAUCCUGGAGUAUUAAUGGUUACUCAACAAUCGAUUUCUUCUGUUUUUAAUACUUAGGCUCACACAACAACCCUUUUUAGUCUUAGUUGAACAAUGAGGUUUAACUUAAUACAUUUUACAAAGAAAGAAAUUAAGUGUAGAAAGUUGAGAAAUAAAUUUGCAAGAGUUUGGACAAGACACAUUCACAUACUCACUUUCUUGAGUCUUUAAGAGGGGUAUUUAUAUACAAAAUUAACCCUUAAAGAUGUUACAAUUGGUUCAAGACUCAUGAAAUGCAAAUUUGCUGACUAGGCAAAAGGUUGCCUGAAGUCAUAAAAGGCGGCCCCGCGCUUUUCAAGCGCCUUCGUGCUUUCUAUAAAGAGACGUUAGGGCUCCAACUGCUUCAGACACGUGGCUCUGACUUGGUGACUAAUAUCUCAACGAUUACUGGCAUGGUAUUAAUUGUGAAAACCGCCAUCGUGCCAUUGGAAGCGCCCUCGCGCUUGUCUUGUUCGCACUCAGAAGCGUCCUCACACUUCUCAUCAUGGUAUUAACUGCUAUUUUCAGUCUUAAGCUCCAAGCUUGAGUGCCCCUGUGCUUUUUGAUGUUUUGACUCUUUGAUUUUCAUAUGUCGCUUUGUUAUUGGCAAGAUGUUAGCUGGAAUUUUCAAUGAUUUGAAUAAUUCUGGUCAUGCGAAAAGUGCCCCCGAGCUUUAAAAGCACCC
rnacentral:lncRNA from 1 species